rnacentral:rRNA from 1 species
CUACGGGUGGCUGCAGUGAGGAAUAUUGGUCAAUGGGCGCGAGCCUGAACCAGCCAUCCCGCGUGCAGGAUGACGGCCCUAUGGGUUGUAAACUGCUUUUCUACGCCAAGAAACGGUCCUACGUGUAGGGCACUGACGGUAGCGUAGGAAUAAGCAUCGGCUAACUCCGUGCCAGCAGCCGCGGUAAUACGGAGGAUGCAAGCGUUAUCCGGAUUCAUUGGGUUUAAAGGGUGCGCAGGCGGGAAAGUAAGUCAGUGGUGAAAAACUGCCGCUCAACGGUAGUCGUGCCAUUGAUACUGCUUUUCUUGAGUUUGGAUGAGGUAGGCGGAAUGUGCAGUGUAGCGGUGAAAUGCAUAGAUAUUGCACAGAACACCAAUUGCGAAGGCAGCUUACUAAUCCACGACUGACGCUGAGGCACGAAAGCGUGGGGAGCGAACAGGAUUAGAUACCCUAGUAGUC